UACGGAGGGCGCAAGCGUUGUUCGGAAUCACUGGGCGUAAAGCGCGUGUAGGCGGCCGGGCAAGUCGGAUGUGAAAUCCCGAGGCUCAACCUCGGAACUGCAUUCGAAACUGCUCGGCUCGAGUCCCGGAGAGGAUGGCGGAAUUCCCGGUGUAGGGGUGAAAUCCGUAGAUAUCGGGGAGGAACACCAGUGGCGAAGGCGGCCAUCUGGACGGUGACUGACGCUGAGGACGCGAAAGCGGGGGGAGCAAACAGG
rnacentral:rRNA from 1 species